rnacentral:lncRNA from 1 species
GCCUUUCAGACAGGCAAGCUGGUGAGCCAAUCAGAAUCAUCCAGCAGUUGGUUCCCUGGAAACAGAAUCAGUUAAACUGUCAGAGCCCCAACCAGACUGUCUUGCGAAUCUGGACAAGAUGGCCCUUCUUGAGUCAGUCUGGACUCCAGACUGAGGUGCACUAGUGAGUCAGGGGAAUGUUGGUGGAAAGGUGGAAGUCGGGAAGGUGACCAGUGGUCAACAGGCUCAAGCCAUCCAGGCACACACACCGUGUGGGUGUGCCCAGCACCUUGGGGGAUGAAGCAGCUUCUAGUAGAGGGACUCCCCUGGAUGGGAAGCCAACAUGCCUGGUUAUACUGAAGACCAGCUGAGACAUCCAGCUUUGUGGACUGAACAACUUCUGGAUUCUUGCACUUUCUGUUCAUGUUCAUAGCCUGCCAUUGUUGGACUAGCUACUAGCUGAAUCACAGCGUGGUCCCUUGUGAAGGAGGGAAAUGGUGGUGCCAUGGAAUUAGGACCUGAGAUCAGCCAGAAUCACCUACCUAGACCAAGGGAUACUGUGUUUUCUUAUGUUUAUGGCUGAGGAGCCAAGAGAGAGCGGGCUCCGGCAUCUACCGUAUCUCUUCCUACACAGUGUAAGCAGAGAAUGCCAGGUGGAAUCCUUUUGUUUCUUCUUCUUGCCAACUUUCUUCCUAGAACGUCCAACUCACUGUUGAAUAGAAAUAUCUCUCGAAGGUGGUAUCCUCGUCUUCCUGUUCAUCUGUGGGCUUUCAUGGGUGUCCUCUAUCGGCAGGAGGUGUGUUCUCUUUUUGGUCCUCCCUCAACAACUGUUUUCCUUAUGAAGAGGCACUAGAUUUAUGUACCCCAUACUUUUUCUGUGUCUAUUGGGAUGGCCAUGUGUUUUUUAAACAUUUAUCUCAUUAAGAUGUGCCUUAUUAAUUUUCUGCAUCGGUCUUGUUUUUGAGGUAGCCUGUCCCUGAGUCUAGCCCUUCACAUCUUGAUGCCUUAGGUUCCAAGGGUGAACCUCAAGUGUUAAGAGGAUCUUAAUCUUGUGCUGCUGCAAGAUCCCUCUGCUAUCUCUUUGUUGAAGAGUUUUGAAUCUGUAUUAGUAAGAUGCGUUGGCCUGUGGUUUCCUGUUUGCGUCUUUAUCUUUUGACACCAGGCUGAGCAGCAGCUGCGCCCUGGGCUUAAAGGCUCAUCUUCUCUCCGUGUGUGUGUGGGGGGGGGGGGGGGCGGGGGGGCCCAGUCUUCAGAGUCAGGAAGUCCCUCUCACGUGGUCGAGUUCCAGAGACCAAGCUCCUGUCGCUUUAGAUCCUGAGUGUUGUGGAGGGGCUCCACGGAGCAAGAACCUUCCAAGCCCUCACAGCCUGGAGCACCUCUGGGUCCGUUCAGUGGGAGCGUCUCCAGGAGAGCCCCUCCCUCCCGGGACUCACUUGAAGAUGAGCAAACAGCACCAAGCCAGUGAAAACUGCUUCCACGGCUCUGAAGGGAGAGGAGAGGGGAUUCCUUGUGCAUGGCUUACAUCCCCCGUGGGCAGCCAUUCUAAAGCACUUGCUUAGACGUGGAUAACUCACAGGCACUUCAGGGAUGGGAUGGAGGACAUAAACUGGUGGGGUCACUUUGGCCUUUACCAGUGAAGUGGAGGCUGCAAUUUCAUAGCCAGACAUCUUGACAUGGGAACCCGAGGGGAAGGGGGAAUCGUCCUCAGCGCAGCAAAGCUGAAUGGAACCCAGCUGUACGUUAACGGGAGACAUAAACGGCAAACUGUGCAUUCAUGGGGAAAAGAAACGGCAAAGUGUGCGUUAGCAGGAGAGACAAACUAUGGUAGGAACAGUGUGAGAGACCAACGCCUUUGUAGCAGUAGAGAUGUGCAAACCAAAAACAACUACAUGUUUCGAUGUAGCAAAGUCCCUGAUAAGGGCUGGAGGGCCACACCCCUUAAAAGAUGCACAAAAUUGCCUGCACCAAGGCAAAACAAACAAACAAACAAAACAAAACAAACAAAAACUAUAGGCAACAUAUGAAGAAGGGAAAGGAUGGAGAAUGGGAAUUCGCCAGAUAGGAUUGCUGGGGAUGGCAGGGGCGGAAAAAGACUGGAAGAAAUAGCCGUGGGGUCUGUAUGAGGAGGUGUGUACAGCUGGGCUGGGCACUGUCACAGCGCUGUCAUAGUGCCCAGCCUAGCCCAGCUGUCCCUUGCAUCAUUUGCACAAUUUAUGUGUUCUUUCAGGUACAGAAAACAAUGUUUGAUACCUCGAUUUUAGGUAUCAUGAGAGCCUGGGCUAUAGCUCUUCUCCCUUCCUCCAGAUCCCUUCAUGCUAAAAACAGAUUUAAACAAAACCCCGCUAAGAGCUAAGACAGCGAGAAUGAGCCCCGGGGACUGUACAGAGAGAAGCCCAGAAGGAGAAACUAUGCCAAGCAAGGCCUGCUGGGAAGCCACCAGAAAAGCCUCCCCUGGAGAGGGACAACAUGACCCAGAUUGCUGUGUCUCUAGUUUGUGUGAAGUUGACAAAGACGAGCAACAUGGACUAUGCCUAGCAGGACACACCUUUAAUGCCUGCAGAGGCAGGAGAAUAUCUAUUAUUUCGAGGAGGGCCGUCUGGUCUACAUAGCAGGAUCUGUUAUGUUGCUCUAGCUGUCCUGGAACUCCAUAUACCAACCAGGCUGGCCCUGAAGUACCAGAAAUCCUCCUGCCUCUGCUUCCCGAGUGCUGGGACCAAAAGUGUGAGCUGCCACCGUACCCAGCUUUAAUAAAUUCUCUCCUUUCUCCCUCCCUCCCUCUCUCUCUCUCCCUCUCUUUCCCUCCCUCCCUCCCUCCCUCCCUCUUUCCCUCCCUCUCUCUCUCCCUCUCUCCCUCUCUUUCUCUCUCCCUCUCUCUCUCUCUCAUCCCAUUAAUUUUAUUCCUCUAAGAGAACCCUGACUUAUGCUGCUAAAGAGACUAAACAGCUUCAGA